GGGGGACAGUGUCUACUUCAACUUGCCGCCAAGAGACUGGGCACUUAAAACGAUAAGAAUGAUGGAGACAGUGACUACCUUGUGAUGGAGACAGUGAUGGAGGUGAAUACGUGAAGGUAAAUAUGUUAAUAUAUGGUUGGGAAAAAGAUGAUACAUUGACUUUAAGAGGAAGGUGUGGUUCCUGUUUCAAACCAGUAGCUUGGGGCAGUCUUCUAGGCCUGUAGAGUGGAGGAAAGCACUAGCAAUGAGGAGGAAGUGUUAUGUUUUGUUUGCUGGGAAACUGUGGACAUGUUACAGUGUAACUGUACAACCAAGGCCAAUGCAAAUUUGCAUAGAAAUGUACCAUGUUGCAAAUAAAUCCCUGCACAUAUUUGUUACAAAAAAAACCAACAAAAACUGAAAAAAAGAAUAACAAACACCAGGUAAUGCUGUUUGUACAGAAUCGUUUAUUGGCAUUUAGUCUAUUUUUUUUAUGUUUCGGUAUUGGUUGAUUUUUUAAAACAUGUUCAUUAUUUAAAACAAUGUUGUUUUUUCCUAUGAUUUUGGGAGUGAUACUGAAUUUGGCUUACAUCCAAAGUUAUUUCCAUGUUCCAAAAAAAAGAGAAAUACAAAAUGCACAUUAUUCAAAGGUUAAUGUUUAUCUCCAUCGCCACAUGCAGAGUUGCGUAAAAAAUGUGUUCAGACUCAAGAUAGCUCAACAGGUUGGUGGCAAGGGUGUGCUGAACCGCUUCCAACACAAACCAAACAAUCCCCUCUGACUCCUCUCCGCUGGUUUCACCACUGCACCCACCUCUGGCAUGGGCCCUAACCUAUAGAUCACCCAUCUUAAGUCAGACAGAAGAAGUGCGGUUUUCUUUUAGUUGUGGAGAGAGCAAGGAGGAGGACAGGGGAGGGGGGGGAGCGGCGAGUUCCACCUGCCUUACUGAUGUCCGAUGUAAGAGGAAGAGGAAGGCGGCAGGAGGAGUAGGAGGGGGAGGAGGUGCGCGCGUGCGUGUGAGGAGUAGGAAUAGGAGUAGGCGCCGGUCGCGGCGGGCGAUCCUCACUGCUUUCUUAGGGAGCAGAGUUGGCCGUGGCCUGACUGCAGUAGAGACCCCGCUCUGUUUGACGAGAGGAAGGAGUGGAGUGGAAGUGGACCCGGCCUGUUCUAACCCCCCCCUCGUGCUUUUGGCUCUCUCGGGGGAGAGUGGGAAACAGCCCACUGUUCGGUGGCCCUUCUGCCAGGAAUAACAGCCAGAGAUCAGUAGCUGGCUACCUUUGAGGCAGGGGAGGCAGCGGCUGGAGUUUCACACACAUUUGUUUGCGUUGACACUCUUCCCCAAAUACUGAAAGGUUGGCAGUGUUUAGCAGCCUAUGGGACAGAGCGGUCGAUUGUCUGCGUGCUUUGCUUUGGUUUAAUUGUUUGGAGGAAGAAUUUUUAUUAUAUAUGACUUUGUCUUUUCAAAAGUGAGGUUACACGAGACACACAAUUAAAGGCCUUAUAUACUUUCAAGAAUCAAAGAAAGGAAUAAUACAGUUAAAACACUUUAAGCCUAUUGCUGUUGUACAGUGCAUCCCAGGUCCUUUUUUAAUUUAUUGUGCAGUAUUUCACUUUGCUGAUGCUAAACACAAGCAAAACUCUCUGUAGCAUCAACCAAGUAUCCAAUAUUAGUUUAAUCUCCAUAACUCAAAUUUAAAAUAUAUCCUAGAAUGUGUUGGACGACCUAUAGCCCAAACAAGUUUUUAUAGCUGCAUUACUCCUUUAAGUCCUUCUUUCUAAUGCUCUGAUGAGGAAGAUUUUAGUACGAAUGAAGACCACACCCUGAUGCAAGGAGACACAUUGGAUCAAAUAAAGCCAACAGUGCCUUAAAAAUAAGGUUAUAUUCCCUUAAGAUUUUAAAAUAUCUACAUUUUAGAGCUCUUUUUAAUAUGAACAGAAAAUGUAGAAUGACAUUGUGGCCCGAAACAUCAUAUUUGGCUAAUCAUAGCUGUAUUGAUGCUAAGAUCAGCCUGAACGUGAUGAUAUUAAACUAUAGGCGGAAAUAGCUUUGCUUGUUCUGCUCUAGCCUCAUGUUGUCCCCAUGCGACUGAUAACCUCGAUGCGGCCACUCAAGCUGAGCCGGGGGCUGAGCUGUCUGAAGUUUGAGCCCAGAGUCAUUAAUUUCUUGGCAGGAAUCAGAACAGCAACGGUUUGAGUAUAGAACCACCAGCAUGCACGGAUAAAGCAUUCUAGCAGAUCUGGUUCCCCUUUGGAAAAUAUGAAGAGACGUGUGAGCGGCAAUGGUGUUGUUAUGCAGAGACGAGCAGAGGAGAGGGAUGAGGGAGGAUGAGGUGCAGGUCAACAACAUCUAUUACUAGCAGAAAUACAUGUGGUACAUUAUGCGGUGCUUUUCUUUUUCCGGGUCUAUAUUUACCAACCAGCUUUAGAUAGAGAGCUUAUACUUUGAGCUACACCUCAAGGAAGCAAUGGGCAUUACUUAAACUGAACCACAUGCACAGUUCGGUCUGUCAAGCAGGACUUUGGGGUAGAAGUGGUCGACAUUGCCGAUCACCUUGAGGGUUUCAGGCUCUCUGCAGCUUCAUGUUCCUUCACGGUUACUACGAGUAUAGAGGCAGAGUUGCAGGGCCCCCCCUGAUCUCUAUCAGAGUGGCUGCCGGUCGGGCUACAGCGUUGUUCCGCUGUUCUGGGAAUGAAGGACAGUGCACACAGCUGUGCUCAGGGGGUAAAUGCAAAACAAACAUG
ensembl:lncRNA